rnacentral:tRNA from 2 species
GCCGGGAUGGCGGAACAGGCAGACGCAGCAGACUUAAAAUCUGCCGCCUUCGCGGGCGUGCGGGUUCGAACCCCGCUCUCGGCACCC